rnacentral:rRNA from 2 species
UCUGAACGCCCUCUAAGUCAGAAUCCGUGCUAGAAACGAUGAUGUUGGUGUCGCACAUUAGACUUGUGUUUAAAUAGAGCUUUGCUCGUGAACCAAAUAUGGUGGGCUGGGUUGUCUUUGCGGAAACGCUUGGGCGACUUGUCUACGAAUUGUAAUCAUAAUAUGGGCGGCGGUGAAUCCUUUGCAGACGACUUGAAUGGGAACGGGGUACUGUAAGUGGUAGAGUAGCCUUGUUGCUACGAUCCACUGAGGUUAAGCCCUUGUUCUAAAGAUUUGUUCA